ACAGUAAAGUUGCUAUUAAAACAACUUCUUAUUUAAAUAAAGAUUUAAUUUUUUUUAAAUAAUAAAAAUGAAAUUGAAUUUAAUUAUUGUAAUAAUAACAAUUUCUCUGAUGUUCUUUAUAAAAAACAGCGCUGGUAAAAAGGUUCAAACUUAUAUCGAUAAUGUCGGAGAAAAAGUGAUAAUGUUUGAUAAUGGAGAUCAUAUUGUAACUGAUAAAGUAACAGGCAAUGUUGUGAUUAAAAGUGGCAGAACCACUGUAGUGCACUAGAGACGUCAAUAGAAGGACCAGAGAAAUUAUCAAUUAUGUCUAUUUUUAGAAAUGCAAUUCAAUAAAUUCUAGUAUUCAUCAUAACAACUAAAUUUGCCACAGCAAAAA